CAGCCGAUCCCGGAGUCGGAGCCGGUCCCGGUCCCGCAGUCGAUCUCGCUACAGCCGCUCCAAGUCUCGGUCUCGCACUCGCUCCCGAUCGCGGUCCACGUCCAAGUCCAGGUCGGCGCGAAGAUCCAAGUCCAAGUCAUCGUCCGUGUCCAGAUCUCGCUCGCGGUCCCGGUCCAGGUCCCGGUCCAGGAGUCCCCCGCCCGUGUCCAAGAGGGAGUCCAAGUCCAGAUCGCGGUCCAAGAGCCCCCCCAAGUCUCCUGAAGAGGAGGGAGCCGUGUCCUCUUAGGCAAACGCUGCGGUCUCCUGUUUGAUAAAAGAAUAUUGGCCAGUAUUGCAGAUUUUAACUGAUUUGGCUGAUCCUCCAGGGACCAGUUUCUGUGGGCGUGUGUUGGAGCAGGUUUGUCUUUAAAUGUUAAAGAUGCACUAUCCUCCUAGAGGAGGCACUCGGCUCAACUCUUGUUGUGCCGACUGGGUCGCUGUUCUAGUGGAUGUGGCAAACGCACUGCAAAAAGCAGCAUGAACUUUGGAACCCAAAAAAGUGUCCAGGUACUGCGCUGGGUGGGGAAAGGAUAGUGUGUCUUUAACUCAAAUUGUUUGGUCCUGUUUUUUAAGGAAGGGCCCUGAGUAGCUCAGACAUGAAAGCCUUAUUCUCGAUUGCCAAACGUUUUGUUUAAAAACCAAAUUUAUCCUGAAAUAUAGGUUACUUUCCUGAUUUCAAGUUUUGUUUGGAUACAGCCCCCCUUUUUUUUCCCCCCUUUUCCUUUUCUCCCCCCUCCCCCCUUAACGAUUUUUCACCUUGGUUAUUUGGCCAAGAACGCACAAAUUUGUAAAUGCUGAUGUGAAAAUUUCCUAAUUUGGGCCUUAAACAUUUGUGAGAACGGCCGGGUGGAACCUUUCUGAAACCUCCUUGUUUCACCAGAGCCUUAGACGGCACAUGCCAAGUACAUGCCCGAAAUUGAAACCAUGUGCACUUUGGGCGGCUUCACGGUGACGGGAGGGAAACUGAACUUAAUUUCUUUUCAAACCUAGAUGUGUCGACAAGCAACAUAACAGAAACGAGGAGGAAAAGGACCCCAUGCUCAGUCCAUCAAAAAGUCCUUGGAACAAGCACCUGGCUAUUGAAAAGGUUAUUUUGUGACAUUUUGUCUAACUUUUUACUUGUUUUAAGCUUUGCCUCAGGUGGCAAACUGCAUUUUAUGUGCCAUUUUGUUGCUGUUAUUCAAAUUUCUUGUAAUUUAGUAAGGUGAACGACUUCAGAUUUCAUUAUUGGCUUGGAUAUUUGAGGUAAAUUUUCCUUUUUGUUUAUAUAGUGCUGACUUUUUUUGUUUGAAAUUAAACAGAUUGGUAACCUAAUUUGUGGCCUCCUGACUUUUAAGGAAACUUAAGGAAACGUGCAGCCAUUACACACACACAGCCUAAAGCUGUCAAGAGAUUGACUCAGCAUUGCCUUCAUUCCUUAGAAUUAAAAACCUACAAAAGUUGGUGUAAAUUUGUGCAUGUUAUUUACCUUCAGAUCUAAAUGGUAAUCUGAACCUAAACUCGUAUAAAGACUUUUCAGGUGAAAAGACUUGAUUUUUUUGAAAGGAUUGUUUACCAAACACAAUUCUAAUCUCUUCUCUUGUGUAUUUUUGUGCACUAGGCGCAGUUGUGUAGCAGUUGAGUAAUGCUGGUUAGCUGUUAAGGUGGCGUGUUGCAGUGCAGAGUGCUUGGCUGUUUCCUGUUUUCUCCCGAUUGCUCCUGUGUAAAGAUGCCUUGUCGUGCAGAAACAAAUGGCUGUCCAGUUUAUUAAAAUGCCUGACAACUGCACUUCCAGUCACCCGGGCCUUGCAUAUAGAUAACGGAGCAUACAGUGAGCACAUCUAGCUGAUGAAUAAUACACCCUUUUUUUUUUUCUACUCCACUCCACCAAAUGGUAAAAAUGAUCAUCUUCAUGUAUGAACUUAAAAUUUGAAAAAUGUUAAGGAAGCAAAUGGUCUGUAACUUUGUAAGUACUUAAAACAUGGUGUAUCUUUUUUGCUCAUAAAUAUUCUGUACUAUAACCAUUGUUUCUAUAGUUUAAUUAAAAAUGUUUUCUUGGUGUUAGCUUUUCUCAGAA